rnacentral:lncRNA from 1 species
UGCAAAUUUUGUAAAAGACAAACGAGAAUUAGAAAGUUAGUAAAUGAACCCGAAUGUGUAGGAUUUCAUAAGAAUGCAAGAGAACGUAGAAAACGUGAGUCGUGGACUUAAGAACGAACGAGUUCCGAGUCGCCAAAUACAUGGUACAAAAUUCAAAUACAACUUAAUAAUACAGCUGUCGUGUAAACAAUACGACAAAACAUAAAUUGAGAGUUUUAAUAAGAAUAUUGUCAUCUAGACAAUAUCCACACUCAAAGGAGUCCUCAUUACAUUUAUUGUCAUACUAUUUAACAGAAUAGUGGAG